CUUCUUCAACCAAAAAUCUCGACCCUUCGCUUCACCGCACAAACCAGCCCUCCACCUACCAGUUGCUCGAACAACCACAGUGAACUCCUCCACACAACACCCUUUCUUCUUCCUCACAUCUCUUUCAACAGAGGAACGAUUCAGACUCCCCUACACUCAAUCGAGAAACGACCAGCCCCAUCCUUCUCCAUAACCUAACAGUAACCAAACUCACUUGAAGUUAAUAAAAAAAUGGGAAAAACAGAGAGAGGGUGAACGGGCAGAAACAGAGUGAGAAAUUUCGAUGACACCAGUCAUCCGCUUCAGUUAUUGCUGAAGAAUCGAGAUCUGUCGAGUUCUAGCCACAGCUCCAUUUUUCUCAAAAAGCAUUAUUUUUGUUGAGUCGAGGUUCUUGGUCUGCGAUCCGCGUAUAGGCUUGAGGUGUUGUCACUUGAUUCAAUUGUUAAAGGGAGAUUUCAUGUGUUUGAAAAUGGUUUUGGUACAGACUUAAGGUCCGUUUCUAUCUUCAAUAUUUUACCUAAUGAUUCUGUCGCAUAUGUGCUUGAAUGGUAGAUUCAUUUGAUUUCCAUGAUUAUUUGUGAUAUCUAUUGAUGUUACGGUGAAAUUUGCUUGAUUUUUGUGGUCGGAUUCGUUAACUACGUGAAAGUGGCAAUACGAAUGUUGUCUUCAGAUGUACGCGUGAUUUAAAGUAGGAGAACUAGCGUUGUUCUUAUGUUGCUGAUUCAACCAAAAUGUGAUUUAGUUUGUAAUGUAAUAAGAUAUUCCAUCAUGAAAACUUAUUUUUUAAUUGAUUAUUCAGUUGUUUUAAAAGUGUAAGGCUGUGGGUUUGGAGUGUACUUUAAAGUGAUUCAUUUUUGAGUUUGGACUUAAUAUUAAGAGGAAAAAACUUGAUUGUCCAAUAUUUUUAAAAGAUUUUACAAUGUCAUAGUAGUACCACUUGAUUAACAUUUGUAGCAGUUAUAUGUUUACAUUUAUAAUAAAACCUGUAACAGUUAUCCUACACGUGUUCCUGAAUUUUAGGAGAUUUCUAUGUAUUUAAAUGCUCAACUGAUUUCACGCUCCACUCAUAAAUGAAUUUUCCUUAUGUUUUAUCUCUAUUUUGAAGAAUGACUUAUAGAUGAUGAUUUAAUGAUGAAUGUAAUGUCAGAUGUGGUUUAGUUUUGUCAUAGACGACCAUUUUAUCUUGCUAAAUUAGUCGUAGAAAAGUCUUUAGGCACGCGUGUUUAAAUAUACCAUGUAUUUGUAUACAUGUUCACGUGACAUAAUCACAAUUCCAAAAAUUAAGCGUUAUUAAUUAUUUCAUCACUAAUUUUCUGUCGAUAUGGGCUUCACGCCGUGAUAUUUGGUCGAGCACGGACAUCACAACUCUUUGUUAGUCAUGCACAACCGUUUGGUGAUGCUCUCCGAAGCCUCGAUCCUCAAAUUAGACCCGGAGGAUAUGGUCCUGAUAUCCCUGAAGGUAUGUGUUUUUCCCGAGCCCCGAUACGAGGGGCUCUUCUCUUUGACUCUGAUACUUUAUGGUCACGUUCCUGCUCUGUCUGUCUCACUGGAAAGUCAAGUCAUGCAGGUUAAAACCCAUACACAAAGUUCUCUGGUUGCAACAGUUUCUGAGUGUAACUUUUAUUCAGCAACCAUACAAAAGAAUUUUUUAACUUUUAUUCAUCAAUAAUAUAAAAAAAUAAAUUAUGAUAUCAUGUCACUUAAAAACUAACUACAAAUAACCAUUCUUUAUAAGUGAGAUUAAUAGCCUAAAUAUUAACAUAGAAACAUAUCAUUAGAGAUAGAGCUACACGCCUAGAUAUUGUUAUAUUGAGGAAGAGACAAACUCGAAGAUAAAGAAUACCAAAUUUUAACAUGCAAAAUCCUUUAAAUUGCAGGUAAAAUUCACUGGAUCAAAAAGAUCCAAAAAGCAACAAUAAGAUGGUUGCAAAAAUUUUUCAAAUUUGGCUACACAAUAAGUGCCAAACACAAAACAACAAUUCAACAAAAAAUCAAUUGAAUAAUGAGGAGAAAUCACAAAAAUAGAGCUAUGUUAACUCAAUUAAUCCAUUCUUUGUAGCAUCAAAAUCCAUUAUCCAAUGUUCAAAUCAAAGACCAAGAUGUUAGGAACACUACGUCAAAAUUUCUGCCUGAUCCAAUGGUGAACGAAUCGAGAAAUGUGAUCUGAAGCUAGCUAGUUAGAACAAAAUAUGCAAUAAAAAGAAUAUUUUUUCUUCUCUCUUCUCUCUUGACGGAAGCUCUCUUAAAAACCAAAGACUUAUUCCAAUUAGGAGAGAAGAAUUUUCCAAAGUUUCUCUAUUUAUAGAUGAUGAGUGGUGUUAUCUCUUAAAGCCAAAAACCUACAUCAAAUAGGAAUGAAAAUCGAAUCUAAUUCCUAAUAGGACUGAAUACCAAAAAAGAAUAGGAUUAGGCCAUUGGACCUUCGGCUGGAAAAUAUGGGUAUGGGCCCAAUAAACUCCCCAUCUAGCUAAGGGGUCAAAUACGUCUUUAAGUAGAGGAACUAUUGACAAAUUCAUGCUUACUAACUUUUUGUAAAUCUCAUGGUUAUCUGCAACAACCGCGUUUUUCAACAUAUCCGAAUGAUUGUCCUUAGUGUGUGUCUUCUCAACGUCGAACAAUUUCUCUUUAGCAGCCAUACUUAUUGUCCCACCCAUUUUUCUCGGGAAAGGGGGUUGACAACUCCUUUUGAGAGAAAGGAAUUGGUUAAGCGAGUCGCCACCUAACAGAUUAAGGUGUGUUUGGGCACCUAUAUCAAAUUACUCGAAUUAUACCAGUUUGGAUCACCAGAGAUCGGGUAAGGGCUCAAAUUGCCUUGAUGAGAAGGAUUUAGGCACCCUCGAUGUCCAUAAUGGUGGGUCCUAGCUGAACUUAACUUAUGUGAAUUAUCCUAAAGAAAGCGAGGGAAAUAUUUAAUAGGGAUGGGAGGUCCUAAGUUUUUUAGCCUAUAAGAUCAUCCCAUGCAACAUAAAUAAUACUCUGUAACUCCCCCAAGACGAGGAUGUUCUCAUAUUAUUUAGCGGGCACAAACUAUCAUAUCCUGCUACUCGAUUACUAUCUUUAAGUUUGUACCUAAAGCACUCUAAUCAGUUCUAACUCGUGUCUUAUGCGUGCGUUACCCGUCCCUUACAUAUGGUCCUAGAGGCAUUAGGACCUCUAUUUAGAAUGGUUCUAGACUCGACCUAUGUUUCUCAAAACUAUAAAAUAAUAGGAGACAUACAAAAUAAUUAGGGCUAUUAAGAUAAAGACAAAUAUAGGCUAAAAUUGGCCUUCUCAUAUAAACAGCAAAUGCACGCAACUGAUCAAUAAAUUUUAUUAAUCGUAGGGUCAUAGAGAUAGGAUACCUAUGCGAUGUUGACCAAGCAGGCGAUCGUACAUAGUAUUAGUUUCUUAGUGUGAGUAUUAGUUUCUUAGUGUGAGUAUUAGGACCAAGCCUACUGAUUUUAGCUUUGCAUAGAAUCUGGGCAUUUUAUACAAUAAUAGUAAAUCACACGAAUAUGGCUAGAGUUAUUUUUUUAAUCCUAUAGGCAUGUUGUCUAGGUGAUUGAUAGUGAUAAUCAUAGAAGCACAUUCAAAAUCAUAAAUUGAAUCCUAUAGGCAUGACUUCUAUAAAUGAACAGAUUUUAGCCCUAUCAGCAGGAUUUCUACAAGUGAAGUGAUUUUAAUCCUAGAGGUAUAAUUUCUACAAGUGAACUGAGUUUAACCCUAUAGGCAUGAUUUCUAGAAUUAAACUAAUUUUAACCCUAUAGGCAUGAUUUCUAGAAUUAAACCGAUUUUAACCUUUAUAGGCAUGAUUUCUAGGAUUAACCAGUAUACAAGCAAGAAUUUGCACACUGUUAUGAAAGAAUAAAAGAAGAAGAUGAGUAUUCUUAGAAAUGUAGGGAGAGAGAACUCUUAUUGAUUUUGGGAUGAAUUACAAUGGAAUACCUUCUAUUCAUUGGAAGAUUUUGACUUAAUCACCAAGUAAUAAAUCCUAGAAUCUCUCUAAAUAUGGACAUUCACCAUAAAUAGAAUCUUAUUUAUAAUACUCCCCCUUGAAUGUCUAUUUAACAUAUAAUGUGGCUCGUUAAAACCUUAACUAAAUAAUAUCCAAUGGGAAAAAAAAUUCUACAAAAGGAAAAAGAGCACACAUGUUUAGAAAUGAGCCUACCGGUUGCUUCGUUAAAAACCUUUCAAAGAAAACCUAGUGGGACAAAGCCUUGUAGGGGAAAAAAGAGUGCAACACGUAUUAACUUCCCCUGAUGACAGUGCGCAUCAAUUCACAUCCUUGAGCCUUCUCAUUCCGCUCUUGUACACUAGCUUCUUGAAGGUUGACGUUGGUAGAGAUUUUGUAAACAAAUCAGCCAUAUUAUCAUUUGAACGAAUUUGUUGCACAUUAAUAUCUCCAUUCUUUUGAAGAUCAUGUGUGAAAAAUGACUUUGGUGAAAUGUGCUUUGUUCUAUCUCAUUUUAUGAAUCCUCCCUUCAAUUGAGCUACGCAUGUUGCGCUGUCUUCAUACAAAAUCAUGGGUAACUUGUCACAUUUCAUACCACAUUUGUCUCGAAUAAGAUGUAUUAUAGACCUCAACCACACACAUUCUCGACUUGCUUCAUGAAUAGCAAUUAUCUCAGCAUGAUUAGAUGAAGUAGCCACAAUUGAUUGCUUAGUCUAUUUCCAAGAUAUGGCAGAGCCUCCAUGGGUAAACACAUAGCCUAUUUGAGAUUGAGCUUUGUGUGGGUCAGAUAAAUACCCAACAUCAGCAUAGCAACGAGAUCAGGACUGCAAUUAUUGUCAUAAAAUAAGUCCAUAUCUGUAGAUCCUUUUAGAUACCGUAAUAUGUGUUUGAUUCCAUUCCAAUGUCUCUUUGUGGGAGCAGAGCUAUAUCUUUCUAAGACAUUAAUUGAAAAAUAUAUCAGGCCUUGUUGUAUUGGCAAGAUAAAUUAGUGCACCAAUUGCACUAAGAUAUGGUACUUUAGGACCAAGUAGCUCUUCAUUCUCUUCUUGAGGUCGGAAUGGAUCCUUAUACACAUCAAGUGAUCGAACAACCAUCAUAUUACUUAAUGGAUGUGCACCAUUGAUAACGCCAAACUGUGCCUUCUCAAAAGACACACACGGACGUAGCAAAUAUAGUCUGAGUAAUUCUGCCUAGAGUCGAGCCACUGAAAAUUAACCUAUAAAUUACUCUUGUCAGAUUUACUAAAUUCAUGCAAUCAAUUUCCCAAAACUUUAUGAUUCAUAGUUGAUGAUAUAUCUAACAACUAAACCAAAAAUACAUAACAACUGAAAGUUAACUAAGCUUGCUUGUAUAUAAUUGGAAUGAAGUCUAAGGUAACGGUUUCCCCCGUUGUUGAUUUCCUUGGUUGAAUAUGUUUUAUAAUUGAGACUUAGUUGUCUCCAUCAAUCAUGAACACUCCAGCUAUCAUAAAUCUUUCUCAAGCAAUUAUGAUUAUUUACUAGACGCACUUUUUCAAGCUACGCCAGCUAGAUUCACAUUACGGUUCACUUAGAUUGCACCUGAGGUAUCAUUAUCUCUAAUCCAACCUCUAAACUCUCGGUUAUGACUCUCGUCUACACUCCAGGAGCGAUGUUGUUUAUACAAUCACCUAAAUAUGCACUCUCUCUCAAGCGAAUAUAUACUAAACAGUGAUAGAUAGAUGAGGGCCCUUCCAACUAACCACAAUCAAACGUAGAUGAACAAAUAGAGAUUAACAACCAAUUCAAAACUAUAUUAAUAUAACAAUCAAGUCAUCCCCAACGGGAUUCACCAAAACCUUAGUUUAAAGUAUUUAGCUACUCAUAUCAAUGGAAGAUAAAACUAAUAGAUGAUCAUAAUGGAAGAACUGCAAGGAAAAUAAAAAAGAUAAAGAACUAUGAUGUUUUGGGUGAUAUCUCACACUUGUUCUUCUUCCAAAAGUAAUCUAAAAAAUAAGCCUCUCUAAUACUUGGCGAGCUUGACUUUAUAGAGGUUAAAUGAAUUUUCCUCCAAGUUUCCAAUUUUUCCCAUAACAGACUUUUUCCAGAACUGGGACUAGCACGAAUGCGGUAAUGUUCACACUAGUCUCCUGACAUUCUGCCUAACACUUCUGGACUAGCGCGAUCACACUAGUUCAUGCCAUUUUUUCUUCCAUUCUUUGUCUCGUCUUUGGGAGCACUCAGCUCUGAGGGGUCUUUCUUGAUCCAAUGCAACUCCAAUCACAACUUUAAAGCAUCAUAUAGGCUCACCAUCCUGCAUUGUGUAAAAUUCACAAUUAGAGCACAUUUUUCAUCAUUUAACCAUAUUAUGACAUUGCAACAUAAUAAAGCAGGAGCAUAAACAAUUUUCAAAUCACCUAGACUUAACCUAUUAUCAACACCCACACUUAAUUUAUUGCUUGUCCUCGAGCAAUCAAACUAUACUUUCUAAAGGUUCCACUCAACAAUUUCCCUUAAUUCCUUACACCCAGAAAAAUUCACAUAUGCUAUACCUAGUAGUGAACAAUCUUAGCCUCAAAAGUCGACUCUCAAAUGCCAAACAAUAUUCACGUUUCCGCGAAGUACUCUACAUAGAAGUCAAGACUUGCCUUUCCUUCACGAAUCACAAGCCCUCUCAAUCACAACAAAGAAAUUAUAAUCAAUUCACACAUUCAAAUUUCAUGCUCACAUAUACAAAGAAAAUCGUUCACACCCACAACAAAAGUCACAUGCAUGCAAUUGGUACCAUAAGAUUGCCCUUAAUGUAAAUCUCUACUAAUGUAGGAUCGCUCGAUCUAAAAUCAGUUAGGUCUUUUUCAUGGUUGUAAUGUGGGCUAAGGGAUGAGUAGGAUAUAUUUAGGAGUAGUGAAUAUCCCUCCUAAGCACUUUAACACACAACAUGAUCAACUUUAAGUGCAAAUUCUUCAAUCCACUUUACUUUUUCAAACAAUAUCACCCUAAAAAUUCUCCCUUGUACUUUAAGCACUAAAUUAAUUCAUACCCACUAGCAAGAACAAGACAACAAUGUAUUGAUCUCUCUUUUUUCAGAUUAAUUUUUUUUCAAUUUCUACCAAUGGUGUAUUAUUUUACAAAACAAGUGCACUUAUCUUCCUUUUAUUGUUUUCACUCAGAAGCAACCACACACUUAGUUUCUUCUUACUUCUUCUAGCACUCACAAUUAAAGUGUUUUAUGAGGUAAAACGGAUCAAAACAAUGUCAAUUAAGAAUAGAAAGGGUAUAGGCUUGUAAUGUGGGUGUCAAACAAAAGUGUAAAGGCUCAAAAGGGUUUACUAGGGAUAUAAUUUAUCUGUGGUAAGCAAUACAGAAAAAGAACAAAGAAAGGCUAAAAUCGUUUUUCAAUCUGAGCAUCACCUAAAAUUUCGCUUCAACUCACAUACCGAGCAAGUUUUAGACACAAGUACAAUACAUAGACUAUACAAAACCUCACCACACAUGACAUAUGACUCGUUCCAGAUUAACUCAUCAAGACACUCCAUUAUGAGUAUUCAAGUUAGUAACAAACAUACAAAUUAAGGCGCUUUAGUGGAGUUCAACCAAUAAGACUAAGCAUUACACUCUCUUCUGUUAUGUUCAGGUGCGUCAACACUAUAGGUUCUCUUUUGAUUCUCUAGCUCGUAGCUUAUUAAAUCUAAUCUAUAAAUAAAAAAGAAAAUAUAUUACUAAAAAAAACUACAUAUACCCGGUUCAAGUUUAAACCCUUGGAAAAGAACCGCGACAUAAAGAAAAACCAAGGGGGAGCUACUACACUACCUAAAAAAAUAUUUUUGGUAUUUUCUCUAGACUAACUUCCCUCAAGAAAAUUAUCUAAUGGAUCCGUCAUCAGGAAAAGACCACAUAUUUCCAAAUUUUUUUUUCGUUUUCAACUUUGUCCCUCAAAAACCCCGCCGAAAGCGAUCCGUCGUCGGGACAAUCCACUUAUCUACUUUAAACUAAUGACUUAUACUCAACACCAAAACUAUCAAAUCCAAAUAAAACAAAACAAAACUAACAUUCAAAUGAAAUAAAACAGAACUAACAUUCAAAUGAUACAACUACAUACAUGCAAUGAAGUAAGGGUGUGCAUGUGCUGCCCCCUGUGUCCUGGGUGCGACGACUUGGCUGCUUGACAAUGAACUUGUGGAGCGGCACUUUCGCCAUGGUGCCAUAAUACCUGAAACACGGGGCUACAUUAGCAAGGUUUAACACAAAGAUGCGACACACUGCGGUUACUCAGACUUCACUCGCUUGAGUGGUCACAACUACAUAGUAACGGUCAUUAAGGCCUUUGUACAAACACCUUGUGAGCAUUAGGCCUCCACUACCCUUGUUAUGUAUUCUAGAACAUGAGUCCACCACAAAAUCACAUCAAUAGCAAAAAUCAAGUACCACCCACCCCACACUUACCACCCACCAGCACCACAACAUAUUCUUCCAAUUCCUAUACAUAAAAAGCAAAGAACACCUACUAUACAACACAUUGGACUACAACCAGAAAUAAAAAAAAUCAAGAAGAGAAAAAGCAAAGAAAUUUCAACUAGGGCUCGUACCUAUGGUGUGGAUGGUGGCGAGUAGAGAGAAGACAUGUGUGUGAGCCUGGUAGGAGGCGUGAAAUUUUGAGAUUGGGAGAUGGGGGAAGUGGAUUGGGGAAAGGGGUUUGUGAGUUGUGGGGAGGGGUUAUAUGUUAGGGGCCUUAUGUUAGGCUAAAGGGGGGAAAAAGAAAAUAGAAAAAUAAAACUUUAAAACGACCCCAAUCCAGUGAUUUCUGGGGCGGGACUAGCGUGAACACUAGCACGAAGUUAGCGCGAUCGCGCUAGUCCAGGCAGAAUAUUACGCUUUUAGCGUGAGCUCUAGCGCGAACACUAGCGCAAAGUGUAGCGAGUUCGUGCUAGUUUGUGCAUCUUAGGCAGACUGUCACCCAAUCAGCUUAAUCUAUAGUGCAUAGUGUAGCGUGAUCGCGCUAGUGGGCAACAAGUUUUUGCACUUUUUCACCUGUGUUUACCAUGGUCGAUGGUCUUUUCACCUACCCUUUGUCACCUGCAUUGGUUAGGAUGAUACAAAACUUACAAAUAACACUACAACUAUUGUAUGGUUGCCUCCCUACUAGCGCCUUAGUUAUUGUCGGGGCACGACGGUUACAACAAUUUAAUGGGUUGUCUACCAUCCAACACCUGAUUUAACGUCGCGGCAUGACGCAAGUAGUUGAGCCAUCACUCCUCAUUUGCAUAUUGGGGUUCUUUCAAAUUGAUCACCACUGUACCCCCUUUUUCUUCAACUAUUGCAAGGUAAUGUUUCAACCUUUUCCUAUUUGCCGAGAACUUCUUUGUCCCUUCUUUUGACUCGAUCUCAACAGCUCCAGUUGUGAACAUUUGCACCACUCUAAAUGUUCCUGACCAUCAGUACUUUAACUUACCGGAAAACAAUCUCAACUUUGAAUUAUACAGUAAUACCUUGUACCGGGUUUGAAAUCUCUGUCCAUAUUGUGUUUGUCAUGAAACUUCUUCAUUCUUUCCUUGUAUAGUCUCAGGCUUUCAAAGGCUUGAUAUCUAAAUUCUUCCAGCUCAUGCAACUCUAUAAGUUAAUUUUGUCCAGCUACGUCAGGAUCCAUGUUCAAUUGAUUUAGUGCCCAUCACGCUUGAUGUUAUAGCUCUACCAGCAGAUGACAGGCAUUCCCAAAUACUAACUUGUUGGGUGAUAUACCUAUUCAUGUUGUAAACGCAGUUCUAUAGGCCAAGAGCGCGUCAUCAAGCUUCUUUGCCCAAUCAGUUCGUGUGGCAUUCACCGUCUUGGUUAGUAAACGUUUUAUCUAACUGUUGGACACUUCAACCUGCCCACUGGUUUGCUGAUGGUAAGGGGUUGCUAACUUGUGGCGUACAUCAUAUUUUGCAGGUAGUUUCUCGAAGGCUCUAUUACAGAAGUUAGUUCCUCCGUCACUGAUGAUCGCUCUUGGUGUCCCAAACCUAGUGAAUAUGUUCUUUUCAGAAAUCCUACCACCACUCUUGGAUCAUUAGUGGGCAACGUUGUAGCCUCUACCCAUUUAGACACGUAGUCCACAGCAACAAGGAUGUACUUAUUACCAAAUAAGCUGACAAACGGACCCAUAAAGUCAAUUCCCCAAAUAUCAACACAUCUACCUCUUGAAUCGGGUUCAUCGGCAUCUCAUGGAAACGGGAAAUGUUCCCAGUCCACUGACAUUCAUUGCAGCCCUUUACCUAGAGGUGUGCAUCUCUAAACACAGUUGGCUUAAGAAUCCGACCUAUUGCACUUUUGAAGCUGUCCUGAACCCUCCAAAACGUCCUCUGUAUGCUGAUGCGUGACAAGCCUGCAAAUUUGAAAAUUGUUCUAUCUCGGGGACACACCUCCAGAUAAUAUAAUCAACACAUAUUCUAAAGAAAUGAGGCUCGUACCAAUAAUACAUGCAGCAAUCACGAAAGAACUUUUUAUUUUGGAGAGAUGAAAGGUCAUAUGGAACUAUACCGCAGGCUAUGUAGUUUGCGAAAUCUGCAUACCAUGGCGCAUCCUUAAGACUGGCUGCGAGCAACUGCUCGUCUGGAAAGGUUCCUAAAAUAUCUUCGACCUCGACUGAUUUUUUAGCUCCUUCAAGUCAUGAUAGAUGAUCAACUACUUGAUUUUUUGUGCCCUUACGGUCACAAAUUUCGAGGUUCUUGCAACAGCAGCACUCAACGAAUCAGACGUGUCUUAGACUCCUUCUUCUCAAUUAGGUACCUGAGAGCUGCUUUGUCAGUGUAUAAAAUUACCUUGGAACCAAUCAGAUAUGAUCGGAACUUGUCAAAAGCAAACACCACUGCUAACAUCUCCUUUUCCAUUAUAGUGUAGUUGAGUUAUGCACCGCUUAGCGUUCUACUUGUGUAGUAGAUCGGGUGCAUCAAAUUAUCCUUUCGGUACCAUAAGAUUGGUCCUAUGGCAUAGUUUCUUGCAUCACACACGAGCUCAAAUGGUUGCUCCUAGUUGGGUGCAACAAUGAUGGGUGCAUCUACCAACCUCUUCUUGAGUUCCUCAAAUGAAAACCUGCAAUUUUUAGAAAACACAAAGGAAUGAUCCUUUUCAAGGAGAUUGCAUAAUGGUUAGCAAUUUUGGAAAAAUCUUUUAUGAAACACUGGUAGAACCCGGCGUGUCCAAGAAAACCUCUCACCACCUUAACUGAAGUGGGUGGUGGUAGCUUCUCAAUCACGGCAACCUUAGCAUGGUUAACCUUAAUUCCUUUAGUGGACACUCGAUGUCCCAGGACCAUCCCUUCUUGUACCAUAAAAUGGCACUUUUCUCAGUUUAGCACUAAGUUUGUCUCCACACAUCUUUUGAGCACUCUACUUAAGUUGUGAAGACAUUCUUCAAAUGAAUCUCCCACGAUGGAGAAAUAAUCCAUAAAGACCUCCAUAAUAUCCUCCACCAUAUCUGUGAAGAUGCCUAACAUGCACCGUUGAAAAGUCGCAAGUGCAUUACAUAGCCCAAAAGGCAUUCUCUGAAAGGAAAAGAUGCCAUACGGACAGAUGAAUGGUGUUUUCUCUCUAUCCUCGGGGGGUUAUUGAUAUCUGAUUGUACCCCGAAUAUCCAUCUAAAAAAAAUGUGAUCUCCCAGCCAGCCUGUCUAAUAUUUGGUCAAUGAAAGGCAAGGGACAGUGAUCCUUUUGGGUGGUGGUGUUCAAUUUUCGAUAAUCCACACAAAUCCGCCACCCUGUGAUUGUACGAGUUGAGAUCAACUCAUUGUUCUCAUUUUUCACAACAGUCAUUCCCCCCAUUUUUGCACACAUUGGAUAGGGCUAACCCAAUUGCUAUAAGAGAUGGGGAAGAUGAUUCUCGCAUCUAACCAUUUGGCCACUUCCUUCUUUGCAACCUCUUUCAUGUUUGGGUUUAGCCUUCGCUGAUGUUCUCGGGAAGGUUUGUAGCCUUGUUCCAAGAGAAUCUUAUGCAUACAGAAGGCUGGGCUAAUACCCUUUAUGUCUACCAUGGUCCAGCCAAUGGUAGUCUAAUUUUCCUGCAGUACCUGUAAGAGUCAUUCUACCUGCACAUCUAGAAAACCGGAUGAUAUAAUAACAAGCAAGGUCGAAUCCGGGCCCAAGAGCACAUACUUGAGGUGAUUUGAGAGUGGCUUUCACUCCAGUUUGGGUGGUUCCUCUAUCAAUGUCUUUGCUGGAGGUGUAGCCCUUUUUUCUAAUUCAAGGGACUCAAAUUGAGGUUCCUUUUUUAUUUCCAGAAUCCUUGCCUUCAAGUGCCAUGACCCAUUCAGCUAGCCCUUCAUCAUCCAUCUCUUCUAGAUUUUUAGACAUGCUUCAAAUGGAUCGCUAAAAGUCAGGGUUGCAUCGUUCUCUUGCAGAAUCACAUCUACUGCAUCCACUAAAGAGUAAUUAGCAUAUUCGCUGGGUCUUCUCAUAGAUUUCUGAACAUGGAAUAUGACUUCUUAAUCGCUCAGUAUCAUUUUUAGUUCCCCAGUCUCACAAUCGAUCAAUGCUCUGCCAAUCGCCAUAAAAGGUCUACCCAAAAUGAGAGAUAUCUCCUCAUCUUCUUGGCAGUCCAGAAUAACAAAAUCUGCUAGGAACACGAACUUCCCUACUUGCACCAACACAUUAUCAAGAAUACCAGUUGGCAUUUUCACCGUGCGGUCUGCUAGCUGUAACAGCGUAGAAGUCGGUCUAGCUCCCAGAUCACAUAAUGCCUUUGCAAGGCAUAGCUCCCAAUUGUGCACAAAAUAGUGAAACUACCUGGAUCAGACAUCUUUUGAUCCAUCGGUCUUGUCACUACUGCGCUGCAGGUCUGUGUCAGGGUCACGGUAGAAAGAUCCUGAAAAUCAAACUUUUGCGACAUUAGAUCCUUCAUCAUCUUUGCAUAGCCGGGCAUCUCCCUGAAAGCAACCAUCAAAGGAAUAUUCAACUGAAUCUGACGCAGUAUCUCUAUGAAUUUCUUGUAUUGAGCUUCCUCUUUUGUUUAACUAGACUUUGAGGGAAGGGUGCAUCUAUCACCCUUUGUGCAUUUCUUGUUGGCUUCUCGCUGUUGGAAUUUUCUGGCACAAGCGGUGCCACCUGUUCUGCAGCUUGCUCAUUCAUCUUUUUUUUGCCUUUUUCCUCCUGACUCUACUCAACCACCACUUCAGUAAGCUCUAUUGGUUCCUCCACCUCUAACGGAACUGGAGUGACUGUUGUACUCUCCUUCCUGGCUUGUAGAUUCUCCUGUUCUCUAUCUAAAUAUCUCCCAUUCUGGAGACUUACUGCCAUCAGCUGAUUUGGGUUUUGCUCUUUGGGGUUUAUGUUAGUAUCUGUAGGCAAGGUUUGCUGACGACGGUUGUUCAAAGCCAUGGAUAGUUGUCCCAGCUGCGUUUCAAUGUUCUUUAUAGCUGAAUCAUGCACUUCCAACUUUUCCUGCACUUUAUUAUUUGUCCCAAUGAGUUGCUGCAGCAUACCCCUAAUUUCUAUCAUGUUGUUAUCUUGCUGAGGAGGUUGUUGAUAUGUUAGUUGUUUCUUAUUUUGUUGUGGGUAGCCUUGUGGUUUCUGAUAUGAUACUAGCACCAUUUUGUUUUGAGGGUGCAUACCCCCAGGCUGUUGCAAGUUAGGCCUAUAUUGCUGAUUUUGUGGCGGUCUCCAUUGUUGUGCGCCUUGUCUCUGACCCCGAUAGUUGUUGAUAUAAUUCAUAUCUUCCCUCGCCCCUUGAUUUUUCGCCUUCUCCGCUCCAUGAACACACACAAGACUGAUUAAUACAAGGUGUACAUAGUCCUUCAUUUGUUGUAUCAACAAUGUGCACCUGUUUUGUACCCAUCUCAUCAAUCUUCUUUGUCAAUAUGCUCAUCUGGGUCAUGAGUGUGGUCAUAUUAUCUGUAUGUGAGUUUUUUGGGUCAAGAGGAACUGAAUGCACUAUGGAUGCUAGUGUUGUAGCUCUAGUCAUCCACCCCGAAUUUUGUGACAUCUUGUCAAGAAGGAUUUUGCACUUGGUGAAUGUCUUAAUAAAAAAUGCACCUCCAACAGAAGCACUCCACAUUUUCCUUUAAAUUGUCAGCUAACCCCAUGUAGAAUCUUUGGCCAAGCAUCUGGUCAGGAAUACCUUGGUGAGGCACUUCACUAGCAUCCCUUUAAAUCUUUCCCUAGUUUCUUGCAAGGACUCAGUAGGCUGCUGCUUAUACUACAAUAUUUCAUGCAUUUGUCUUGCAGUCUUGUUGGGUGGAUAGAACUUAUUCAGAAACUGCUUGACUAAUUCCUCCCAUGUGGCUAUGGAAUUGAAAGGGAACAACUUUAGCCAAGUAUGAGCUUCCCCGAUCACAGAGAAUGGAAACAGUAGUAGCUUGAUAGCUUCCGGGGUCACAUUUGGUUGCCGUUGGAUCAUACAAAUUGACAAUAAAAAAUUCAAGUGCUGCUGCAGGGUCUUUAAUGUGUGACCCGGAGAACUAUCCUUUAUUAUGCAGUAGAUGUAGCAUAUUUUGGUUAUCUGGAAGGUCUCCGCUUGGAUUGUGGGAACAUCUAUGGAAGUGGCCAGGUUAUCAGCUGCGGGCUGAGCCCAAUUAUAAAGUGCAGCUUUGGUAACUAGAGGUGCCACUACUCUCACAUUGGGGUUUGGUGGCGGAUCCCCUACGUUUCCGAUGACGUUGUCUGCAUCACCCACAUCAAAUUCGAGCAGGUGUGAUUGUUGAGAUUGUUGUGUUCUCUUGUUGGCACGGUUCAAUGCCCCGAAUGUUUUCUCAAGGUGUGAGCGUCCUUCUAGUAGUUUGCCAGUCCUCGAAGAAUUUCUAGGCAUACAUCUAAAGUCCACAAGAGCUCAAAAGUUAGAAUUUCAAUGAAAAGAUUGGGUAUAGAGAAAACUGACUUCACUACGAAUUUUGUAGUUCUUUCAAUUGUAAUUGAUAACCUUAUAAAUUCCCAGACAACGGCACCAAAAUUUGAUAACGCCAAACUAUGCCUUCUCAAAAGACACACACGGACAUAGCAAAUAUAGUUUGAGUAAUUCUGCCCAGAGUCGAAUCACUGAAAGUUACCUAUCAAUUACUCUUCUCGGACUUACUAAAUUCACACAAUCAAUUUUCCCAAACUUUAUGAUUCAUAGUUGAUGAUAUAUCUAACAACUAAACUGAAAAUAAAUAACAACUGAAAGUUAACUAAGCUUGAUUGUAUAUAAUUGGAAUAAAGUCCAAUGUAAUGGUUUUCCCCCGUUGUUGAUUUACUUGGUUGAAUAUGUUUUAUAAUUGGGACUUAGUUUUCUCCAUCAAUCAUGAACGCUCCAGCUAUCAUAUUUCUUUCUCAACCAAUUAUGAUAAUUUACUAGACGCACUUUCUCAAGCUACGCUAGCUAGAUUCACAUUACGGCUCACAUAGAUUUCACCCGAGGUAUCGUUAUCUCUAAUCCAACCUUUAAACCCUCGGUUAUGACUCUCGUCUACACUUCGGGAGUGAUGUUAUUUAUACAAUUACCUAAAUAUGCACUCCCUCUCAAGCAGAUACAUACUAAAUAAGGACGGAUAGAUAAGGGCCCUUCCAACUAACCACAAUCAAAACGUAGAUGAACAAAUAGAGAUUAACAACCUAUUCAAAAAUAUAUUAAUAUAACAACCAAGUCGUCCCAAACGGGUUUCACCAAAACCUUAGGUUAUUGUAUUUAGCUACUCGUAACAACGGAAGAUAAAACUAAUAGAUGAUUCAUAAUGGAAGAAUUGCAAGGAAAAUAAAAAAGUUAAAGAACUAUGAUGUUUUGGAUGGUCUCUCACACUUGUUCUUCUUCCAAAAGUAAUCUAAAAAAGAAGCCCCUCUUAUCCUUGGGCGAGCUUGACUUUACAUAGGUUAAGUGAAUUUUCCUCCAUGUUUCCAAUUUUACCCCUAACAGAACUUUUCCAAAACUGGGACUAGCGCAAACGCGCUAAAGUUUCUCAUGACAUUCUGCCUCCCUCUUCUGGACUAGCGCGAUCGCGCUAGUUCAGGCCAUUUUUCUUCCAUUCUUUGUCUCGUCUUUGCGCUCACUCAGCUCCGAUGGGUCUUGCUUGCUCCAAUGCAACUCCAAUCACAACUUUAAAGCAUCAUCUAGGCUCAUCAUCCUGCAAUGUGUAAAAUUCACAAUUAGAGCCCAUUUUUCAUCAUUUAACCAUAUUAUGACAUUAAAAUAUAAUCAAGCAGGAGCAUAAUCAAUCGCCAAAUCACCUUAGCCUAUUAUCAUCCAUCCAUGUGAAACCAUUUCAAUACCUUUUUUUGUGUAGGCAGAUUGAUGAUCAAAAAUUUUGUCUGCCAAAUGUUCAAUUUUCAAACCAAGACAUAAUUUUGUCUUUCCGAGAUCUUUCAUCUCGAGUUCCUUCUUUAAAUAAUCAAUUGACUUUUGGAGUUCUGUAGGAGUUCCAAUAAGGUUUAGUCAUCAAGAUAUACAGAAAGUACAACAAAUUCCGAUGUUGUUUUCUUUAUAAAAAUACAUAGGCAAAUGGCAUCAUUUAUAUAUCCUUCCUUUAAUAAAUACUCACUAAGACGAUUAUACCACAUUCGUCCUGAUUGCUUUAGACCAUACAAAGAUCUUUGCAAUUUGAUUGAAAACAUUUCCCGGGACUUUGAUUAUAUAUCCUUCCUUUAAUAAAUACUCACUAAGACGAUUAUACCACAUUCGUCCUGAUUUUUUUAGACCAUACAAGAUCUUUUCAAUACUAUUGAAAAUAUUUCCCCGGACUUUGAAUUAUGUGUGUUUGGCAUUUAAAUCCAUCGGGAAUUUUCAUGUAUAUCUCAUUAUCAAGUGAGCCAUAAAGGUAGGUGGUAACCAUAUCCAUAAAAUGCAUGUCAAGAUUUUCUUGGACGACAAAACUAAUGAGAUAAUGGAAAGUUAUAGCAUCCAUAACGGGUGAAUAUGUCUCGCCAUAAUAGACACCAGGCCUUUGUGAAAAUCCUUGUGCAAUAAGGCGUGCCUUAUAUCUUCGUACCUCGUUUUCUCAUUUAUCUUGCAUAGAAAAACCCAUAUAUAGCCAACAGGCUUAACACCAUUAGGUGUUUGGACUGCAUGCCCAAAACCUUCAUGUUUUGUAAGUGAAUUCAACUCUGAUUGGAUUGCUUCUUGCCAUUUUGGCCAAACAAGUCUUUGUAGACAUUCUCCAACAGAUUGAGGUUCAAGAUCCUCACUUUCAUGCAUAAUUCUUGAUGCAACAUUAUAUGCAAAGACGUAAUCCACCACUAUAUCCACUCGAUUCAAAUUUGUCUUAAUAUCUAUUGGAUUUAUUGAUAGUUCCUUAUUUUCUCGAGUCUCAGGCUCAGUGGAUUACUCAUAAAUCUCUGAAUUUAUUAAAUCUUGGAUUUUAAUCAUGAGAUUCUUUUGUAGUGUCAUUUUGAUCAUUUAUUUUCUUUUUCUAGGAUUUCGAUCUUUGGAACCUAAUGAUCUGCCAGUUUCAGGCGUGCUUUUGACUCAUUCGAUAUUACACUAGAAGAUUGUACAAUAUGCACAUCAAUACGGAUCAGAAUAAUUUUUUGCAAGGAUAUGUGAUUUUGUUAUCCUUUUCAUAUCCGUAAAUCUGGCAUUUAAUUUUCUAUUCUCUGCAAUGAAUAGUCUAUUUUCUAUUCUCUUCAAAUGAAUAGUCUUUUGCACCUAUUUUCACAAAUAGAGGCACUUUGAUUAAGACGAGCUAAUGACGGAUUUUUUUCAUAAAUUUCCCAUUUGGUUUCACCAACUUCUCCCCUUAAUUUUGGGAAAAGUGUCUCAUCGAAUUGACAGUUUGCAAAUCCUGCUGUAAAAAAUCCCCCAUUAAUGGUUCGAGGUAGCAAAUAAUGGAGGGCGAUUCAAACCCAAAAUAUAUUUCUAACCCUCUAUGCGGUCCCAUUUUGGUGCGAUAUGGUAGUGCUACAGGAACAUACUGCGCAUUCAAAAAUUCUAUAAUGGGAUAUAAUAGGUUCAUGACUCAAAACUAAUAGCAACGGGGAAUAUUUAUAAUAAUUUUUCUGUUUGAGACAAACUAGCAUUGCUGCAUGCUAAAUGGCAUGACUCCAAAACAGAAGUGGGCUGCCUCCUUUUCAUGAGUAACAAUCUUGCUAUCAAUUGCAAACGUUUAAUUAAAGACUCUGCAUGACCAUUUUGAGAGAGAACAUGAGCUACAUGAUGUUCCAUUUUUAUCCCAAUUGAUAAGCAAUAAUCAUUGAAUGCUUGGGAUGAAAACUCAGCAGCAUUAUCAAGUCUAAUAGACUUAAUUGGAUCAUCAGCUACGACCCUUGGGAAUUAUUGAUGAUGUGCUUGUCCGGGUAGACAUAUUCAUAUUGCCGGCCGACUUUGUCAUUUUGGAUUGUGAAGUAGACCAUGAGUUUCUGAUUAUCUUAGGUACACCUUUCCUUGCAACGGGGGAGGCAUUGGUUGAUGUUGAAGAGGGUGAGCUCACUUUUAGAGUGGGUGAUGAAAAGGUCGUCUUCCAUGUUUGCAAAUCUAUGAAGCAACCCAAUAAUACCGUGGUGUGUUCAUUUGCAGACAUUGUCGUAGCUGUGAUAGUGGAUAACACAAGUUCUAUGAUUAAUAUGGAGGAUCCUCUUGAGGCCAUGUUGUUAAAUAUGGAUGUCAAUGAUGAUACAAGCAGAGUAGAGUGCGUGAAUGCCUUAUAUGGGAUGGUCUCUUAUUCUUAUGAGCCGAGAAAAUUAUCUUUGGAUCUUGAAAAUCGAAAAACUCCACCAACAAAACCAUCAAUUGAGGAGCCAUCGGUGUUGGAUUUGGAACCACUUUCUCCACACCUCAGGUAUGAAUUCUUGGGCUCAAAUUCGACUUUACCAUUUAUUCUUUCUUCUUUCCUUACUAAUAUGCAGGUUGAGGCCACUUUGACGGUACUUCAAAAGCGGAAAAGGGCAAUUGAAUGGACACUAUUUGACAUUCGGGGAAUAAGCCCCGCAUUUUGCAUGCAUAAUAUUAUCUUAGGAUGAUGAUGAAAAUCCCUCCUUGGAACAUCAAAGAAGAUUGAACGAGGCUAAGCAAGAGGUGGUGAAAAAAGAGGUGAUCAAAUGGUUGGAUGCCAGGGUUGUGUACCCCAUUUCUGAUAGCUCGUGGACUUCUUCGGUGCAAUGCAUACCGAAGAAGGGUGGUAUGACUAUGGUGCCCAAUGAAAACAACGUACUUAUUCCUACUCAGGCGGUCAUCGGAUGGAGAAUUUGUAUGGAUUAUCGGAAGCUAAACAAGGUGACCCGAAAGGACCAUUUUCAAUUGUCAUUCCUUGAUCAAAUGCUAGAUCGUCUUGCAGGGCGUACUUUUUAGUGCUUUGUAGAUGGUUACUCGGGGUAAAACCAAAUUUUAAUUGCCCGUGAGGAUCAAGAGAAGACAACUUUUACCUAUCCGUAUGGCACAUUCGCUUUAUCUCGGUUGUCGUUCGGAUUGUGUAAUGCUACGACAACUUUCUAAUGAUGCAUGCUUGCUAUUUUCACUGACAUGGUGGACGAUAUCUUGGAGGUCUUUAUGGAUGAUUUUGGUGUGGUUGGGGAUUCCUUCGAUGAAUAUUUGAGUAAUUUGGAUAAAGUGUUGGCCCGGUGUGAAGACACAAACCUUGUACUCAAUUGGGAAAAAUGUCAUUUCAUGGUUGAAGAGGGUAUAGUGUUGGGUGCUUGCUAUUUUCACUGACAUGGUGGACGAUAUCUUGGAGGUCUUUAUGGAUGAUUUUGGUGUGGUUGGGGAUUCCUUCGAUGAAUAUUUGAGUAAUUUGGAUAAAGUGUUGGCCCGGUGUGAAGACACAAACCUUGUACUCAAUUGGGAAAAAUGUCAUUUCAUGGUUGAAGAGGUAAAUUGUUGGGUCACAAAAUUUCAAAAGCGAGGAAUCGAAGUGGAUAAAGCUAAAAUAGAAGUGAUUUCGAGGCUUUCUCCCCCUAUAUCUGUCAAAGGGGUGAGAAUUUUUCUUGGGCACGCGGGAUUUUACCGAAGGUUUAUAAAAGAUUUUUCCAAUGUGGUACACCCAUUGUGCAAGUUGCUAGAGAAAUAUGCUAUGUUUGUGUUUGAUGAGAAAUGUACGGAGGCCUUUGAACUUCUCAAGCAAAAAUUGACCACAACUCCUAUCAUUACUACACCUAAUUGGAGCUUACCCUUUGAGCUCAUGUGUGAUGCUAGCAAUGUGGCAGUUGGAGCGGUGUUGGGUCAACUUGUGAACAAAUUAUUUCUUCCGAUGUACUAUGCAAGCAAGACCAUGAAUGAGGCUCAGAGGAAAUAUACGGUCACCGAGAAAGAGUUAUUGGCUAUAGUUUUUGCUAUGGUAACGUUUUGCCCAUAUCUCAUGGGGGCAGAAGUUGUAGUGCACACCAAUCAUGCCGUCCUUAGGUAUUUGAUGACAAAGAAAGACUUAAAAGCAAGGUUGAUGAGAUGGGUGUUACUACUUCAAGAGUUUGAUAUAGAAAUUGUGGACCGGAAAAAGUUAGUGAGAAUCAAGUGCUGGACAUUAUCCCAUUUGGAGGAGGAGGGUAAGCCUUGUGAUGGCCUUGAGAUCAAUGAUUCAUUUCCCGACGAGCAACUCCUUGCGGUGUCAAUGAACAAUAUGCCAUGGUUUACCAAUGUUGCUAACUAAUUUGUGACCAAAAUAAUCCCGUAAGAUCUCUCUUCUAACCAAAGGAAGAAGCUCAAGCGGGAUAGCUUGGAUUUUUAUUGCGACGAGCCAUAUUUGUUCAAGAUUUGCAUGGAUGGUGUGAUUCGUAGAUGUGUCCCGGAGGAAGAACAAUUGGGUAUUUUGGAGGCUUGUCAUUCCUCUCCCUAUGGUGGACAUCAUGGCGGGGCGAGGACGACUUUUAUAGUGCUUAGUUGUGUAUUUUAUUGGCCAACCUUGUCCAAAGAUGUAGGUGAUUUUGUGAAGAGAUGUGAUGAAUGCCAAUGAGCAGGCGGGAUUUCCAAUAAAGAUGAGAUGCCUCUAAACAUAAUUCUUGAAGUUGAUAUCUUUGAUGUAUGAGGUAUCAAUUUUAUGGGCCUUUUUUUAUCUCGUACGGUAAUACCUACAUUCUUGUAGCGGUUGAUUAUGUAUCAAAAUGGGUUGAGGCUAUGGCCUUUCCCAACAAUGAAGCUAGGAGUCUGAUGGCAUUUAUAAAGAAGAGCAUUUUCACAAGUUUGGCACUCCUCGAGCAAUUAUUAGUCAUAGGGGGUCUCAUUUUUGCAACAAGGCUUUGGACAAGUUGUUUUUCAAGUACGGUUUCAAUCAUAAGGUUUCUACCCCCUAUCAUACCCAAGAAAGUGACCGGGUGGAAUUCUCCAAUGGGGAAAUCAAGAGUAUCUUGUCAAAGACGGUCAAUGCUAAUAGGAUUGAUUGGUCAAAAAAGUUGGAUGACGCUCUAUGGUUUACCAAACUUCUUAUAAGACCCAAAUUGGUAUGUCACCGUACCAUUGGUGUUUGGGAAUGCAUGUCAUCUACCAGUACUAUUGGAGCAUAAGGCCAUGUGGGCCUUGAGGAAGCUUAAUCUUGAGCGGGAUGUUGCGUCCAAUCUUCAUGUUGAACAACUCAAUGAACUUGACGAAUUCCAAUUCCAUGCAUACACUAGUUCGUCCUUGUAUAAGGACAAGAUGAAGUACCUUCAUGAUAAAUAUGCUCGUGGAAAGGAGUUCAAAGUUGGUGAUUUGGUUCUCUUAUUCAAUUUUUGAUUACGUUUGUUUCUGAGAAAGCUUAAAUCAAAGUGGAGUGGCCAUUUGAAGUUGUGUUCGUGACCCGUUUUAGUGAUCUUGACCUUAAGAACAAAAAUGGUGAAGUUUUUAGAGUUAACAGGCAUUGGGUCAAGCAUUAUCUAGGAAAUAUUUAUGACAGCCACGUGGUGGCGCUUAUUCACCUCAAGUGAUGUGGUAACAUGUGUCGUGCUAUGACGUUAAAUCAGGCGGUUCUUGGGAGGCAACCCAAGUCUUUUUCUUCUUGUUUUCUUCGAUUUUCUUUGUAGUUUAGGUUCAAUUUUUGGGCUAAUUGGUUUUGAGAUGUUGCAUGGAUUGAGUUGAUGUAGUGCAAAACAUAGUGGAGAAAAUGUUUAGUCUCUGAAGUUGCUAGUGCAGCCGCAUUGCACUUUGUGCAGUCCGCACUGUUGUGAACCAAUGAGAGAGCUCUCUGAAGUUUGCCACCGUGUCCGCAUUACAUUUUAUGCAGACCACGAUGGACCUCUGCGGCCGCGGUCUGUUUUUGUGGAACGUGGAGUUUGACUUCUCAAGCUUCUUCUAAAAAAACCAAGCGUGGGCCGCAGUUUGUUUUGUGAGGCUAUAUUGCUAGGUAAGAACGGGUCCCACAAGCUUCCAUAUAAAUAGACUUCAAAGGUCUCCUGUUACCCUUUUCGAAAAAUUAACUCUCAGAUCCCCUUUUUACUAUUCAUCCAUGCAUCUUGAUCAUAACUCUUGCUUGCCAAUGAUUAAUUACACUUCUUCUCAAUAUCUGGUAACAUAUCUCUCAAUUAUUCUUGUUUAAUUUUGCAAUUUCAUUUUAUUUUUUCUUUUUUAUCAUGUAACUUCUUCUUCUUCCUCUAUUUCUAUACGUGUUAGCUUAGGUUAAAUUAAAUGUUAAUUUUUGUGUCUUUGAUGAGCAUAAUUAACUGAGUAAAUUGAGUGGGGACGCUAACUAGGUUAGAAUUAAAUUUAAAAGCAAAAUCCCAUAACCCAAACUCAGUGCCUUGACUAAGCACCCUCCACGGACCGGGUCCUUUUUUUGUUGUCCGUGGUGCUCUGACGCAGUCCGAGGUACCAUUUUGUGCGGACCACGGUGAUGAUAUUCUGAAAGAUUGACUUAUUGACCAGCGCAGCUACACUACAUUUUGUGCAGUCCGCGUUGGCCCACUGCGGCCGCUGUGCUAUUUUUUAUGGGCCGCGUUGGCAAGAUUCUGAGAGGGGUUUCUAGACCUUUCCCCAGAAAGGAUCGUGGUUGCUUUUAUACAGUCCGCGAUGGCCCCAGUGCGGCCGCGCCCCUUUUUGUGCGGUCCACACUACACUAUGUUUGCAAUUCUAUGGGUUCUGUUUUGCAACUCAGCAUGCACAUAGGCCUCGUUGCUUCCAUUGAUACUAAAAAAGUUAGAUGUUUAUGCUUGAAGAUAAUGGUUAAAAAAUGAGAGGGAAGAGGAUCAAAACAACCCGAGAGAGGUGAAUCCUCCCGGGGAGGAAAGCAAAAGAUGAUAAAACUCACUUACCAAGUUCGGGAGAGCAUAAAAAGGACUAGAAUAUUGAUAAAAGUUGCUGACAAGGGCAGCUGACAGAUCGCGAAAAGAGUACGAGCCAUCUCAUGAGGUUUCCUCAUACUUUAUUCCUGCACAGAUUCAUGAUUGGCUCGAACGAAUGAGAUUGACCGAUGAUACUCCACCUCCUUCACCCAUUGCCCAAGUUCUAGAGCGUAUACAUUUUGAGUUGUCAGAGGGCUCAGCAGCUGGUAGCGAUGAGUACUCAACCUCCCCCACAGCCUCAUUAUUCGGGAAGAGUGCAGACAUAGGUGAAAAGGAGGUACAAGGAGAUGAGGAGGUUAAAGAGGGUGGUGAGCCUCAGGUUGGGGGUAUUGCCCGGACUAGAGAUCCUCAGGUUUGGGAGGAUAGAUUCUUCUAUCAGGUGGCGUUCCACAAGUUUAGGGAAUGGUGGCCAGUAAGAAAAUUGAUUCUUUAGAGGAGCUUCGUUGCCAGAGACCUUUUACCUCUAAACCCUAAUGUGCAUAGACAGUUUCAGACUCGAGUGGGGUAGGAGCACUUCUUGGAUAAGUGUGAAUGCCAACGAACAUGUGGUCAAAGAUUUUUAUAGCAAUGUAGCCCACAACUUGAAGAGCACCAAAGUGACAAAAGUUCAAAACAAAUAAUUGGUGUUUAUCGAGAAGGCGCUCAAUGAAUACCUGGGUUUCAAUAAAGAUGAAGAGUCCCUUUACAAUGAAAAGUUGGCUAUGAGUGAGGAGGUUCGUUCGUGGUUAGCUUCAUACCUGGAAAUCCCGAGUACUGUUCCAGAUUGGCUGACCGUUGGGGCAAAAAUACUUCGAAGAAACCUUAACUUUGAGGCUAGGCAUUGGUUGACUUUCGUGUGCACCCGGCUUGAUCCCACGACCCAUGAUCAGACUCUUCCUCUUGCCCGGGCUGUUCAAGUUGACUCUAUUAUGGCAGGCUACCCCAUCAACAUAGGGAAUGUAAUGUCCCGCAUCAUUUCUUCAGUGGCGGUCGAGCAUGACCGGAACUACCCUUUUCCCAUCACCCUUACCAUGUCUUUCCAGGACUUGAGGGUUGAGAAGAGAUCUUUUGAUAUCAAGGUGAAACCUGUAGCUCUGUUUUCAUGGUAUAGUUUGAAGGGGCCAGACAACCCCAAGGACUAGAGCUACAAGGCGCCUACCUCUACCCCAACUGGACAGUCUGAAGAGCCAGUUGCGGUAGAGCCCCCCACUGAGCCUGCCUUGACUACUGUUGAGUUGCCUCCUGAACCUUCCACUACAGCCGACUUGCCUCCUGGUCCUUGCACUUCAUCUGGCCUGGGGAUUCCAUCUUCAUAGGCCCAUCUUAUCACUUCCUACCAGCUGAGCCAAACACUUCACAGCUUGAACAACUGGAUGGUGACUGCUUCAUCCAAGUUGUCCUCCUUGACCUCUACCAUUAAAGCUAAGUCGGUACCACAACCAACAUAUAUUCCACAACCUAUAUAGGAUGCACUUAAGGAAAUUCUUGCCAACCAGGAGAGUAUCCUCAGUACUCAGAGUGCCUUGGCUAAGGGGGUAUAUUUACAUGGCAAGGCUCUGAAGGAGCUUUCCUAGAAGCACAAGAAGCUGCGCAGACACGGGCUUCCAAGGCAUUCGUAAAGGAAUUAAGAGCAGAUGUGGAUAAGCUGGAGGCAGACCACUUGCCUUUAGACUUGCUAUUUGAGGACCCAGCUCCAGCAGCAUGAGUAGUCACAAAGGCCUCCAAAGAGGAGGAGGAUGAUUCCGAGCACGGAUGAUGCCAUCAUCCAGUUGGCGAAUCCACCAGAGGCUUCCUCCAAUCAGCCAUAGGAUGUACUUGAGUCACAGCCUGUCCAGGUCCAAGCCCCAGUACCAACAACCGAGCAGCAGGAUACCGGGAACCAAUUUGAGGUUCCCACGCAUUCAGAGGACCUGGGGACCACUGAUGAUCCUAUGCAUACGAACUCGGCUUAGGGAGUUUUCAUAUCCUUUCCUUUUACAUUUUGGUACUUAUUUGUUUAGUUGGCAUUGGGGACAAUGCCAGCUUUUAUUUGAGGGGGUGCGCCCUACAUUUUAUCCUUGGAUGAUUGUAUGUAUAUACUGGUUUACUUGAUGCCUUAUUGAUUUUUACUUGGUCUGUAUAUAACUUUACAUUUAGUUACUUGUAUUGCACUUUUGAUCUUUCCUUUGGUCUAUAUAUAAAGUUACAUUAUUGUAUAUAUUCAUCCCCCAUUGUAUAUUCAAAUCCCCUAUUGUACAUAUUUAUUCUAUUUUCCAUUUCGUAAAAACAAUUUCAUUUUUAUAUUCUUAGAUAGGCUAGUAGCUUGUUGUUUCGUUUUUGUAUUUUUAAUAAGCCUUUUGUUUUCUUAAUGUCGUGGUUCUUUCCAAAGGUGGAGUAUUGUGUGAAUUAUAUGGCUCUUCCCAAUGAUGGAUGGCGUGACAACCUUCUUUAGUGUUUGAGUCCAUUUUUGUUUUUCUUUGUUUUUGGUAAUUUGUAGUUAAGGGUACCUCAAGCAACGCUUCACUUGGGCCUAGCACAUUUGCCUUUGAUCUCAUGGUCAAGGAAAAAUAUUGUGUUUAGGAUGGUGAAAGUCGUGACCUUGAGACUCUUGUGUUGACCAACAAUCAUCAUGUGGUCUUUCGAGACCAUUGUGUGGUGAAAUCAUGACUAAGAUUGUUGUGGUCCCCCGACUCUAUGUCUUUAGCAAUCCUUUAGCUUGUGUGGUGAGAAAUCGAAUUGUGAGUCUGAGUCCCGAGCCAAUGAUCUAGAACUUGCCCUGUAUGUCUAUUUAGGAAAAAUCUUAAGUGGAAUUUGGCUUGAGAGGUGAUUAUAGGAUCUCCUUGACCCAAAUGAUAGUUGAACAAUUCCAUAGCCUACCAACGAUAUAAUCGCUAGUUAAACCUUUUGAGCCUUAAACCUUUUUCUUUCAAGAACCAAUGCUAUAAGUCUACACCUAUUCUAAAAUAUACCCUCUCUUGGCACUUGAUAUUUCCUUGAGCAAUAGUAAAACUCUAUGUUUGGGGGGAGAGAUGAGAAAGGGAACAAAGUGGUAAAAGGUACAAAAGUGAAGAAAAGGUAGGCAAUAAAAAAGAAAGAAAAGAAAAAGAUAAAAAGAAAACCCAAAGUGAAAAAGAAUGAAAAAGGGAUUCAAGAUAAACAAAAGAGAAAAAGGUGUGGAAAAAGUUGAAAAAGGAGAUAUGUUUUGAAAUGCAUAAUAAAGGGUGACAUUGGGUCUCUCUAACCCCUAAAAAAAGAAGUGAGAUACUCGAAGAGUCAAGAGAAUUGUGCCAAAUGAAUUAAAAGAAGUGCUUAAGGGAAGAUAGAACCCAUUUAGAUCAAAACAUUUCCUACCCUCAACCAAAAGCCUUCACAUUGACUCCAUAAAAACCCUAUAUGAUCUUGAGUUGAAUGACGCUUUCAUUAGUCGAUAAUUACAUGAGGGGCAAUAAAAUGGUACUUAAAGCCGGACUUGUGACUUUUCCUUGAGACAGACGAGUGAAUUUCCAUUAACCUCGAUUUGUGUGGUAAUACUUUAAAAAGGUAGGUUUGUUAGGGGAGAGUUGAGGAUGUGUGAGUUUGGGUUCCAGAACGACCAAUGUAAUUGAGAGAGUUUUUUUAUAUAAUGAGUCAACUCUUGAUGCUCUUGUGCCAUACUUUAUCCAUGAUUUUCAAAGUUUAAAGGUUGUUAAUGAUUCAUUCGUAUUAAGGACAAUUGUUAGUCCCAAUUGAUGCUUGUGAGAUUACUUUAGGAUAGUUGAAAAUACUUGAAUUUCCCUUAAGGGCUGGGUCUUAUUUUAUUUGCUUGAGGACAAGCAAAAGCUUAAGUUUGGGGGAGUUGAUAACUAGGGGUUUUAAUGUGUUUCAUGCUCCUUAUUGCAUAUGUUUUGAUUAUAGAUUGUUACAAACUAGACCCAAAAGGCUCAUAAGUUCUGCUUGAUUGCAGGUUUUAUCGACAAAGUGACGAAAUCCCAAAGAUCGGC
rnacentral:lncRNA from 1 species